GACCUUCGGGCCUCUUGCCAUCAGAUGUGCCCAGAUGGGAUUAGCUAGUAGGUGGGGUAACGGCUCACCUAGGCGACGAUCCCUAGCUGGUCUGAAAGGAUGACCAGCCACACUGGAACUGAGACACGGUCCAGACUCCUACGGGAGGCAGCAGUGGGGAAUAUUGCACAAUGGGCGCAAGCCUGAUGCAGCCAUGCCGCGUGUAUGAAGAAGGCCUUCGGGUUGUAAAGUACUUUCAGCGGGGAGGAAGGCGUUGAGGUUAAUAACCUCAGCGAUUGACGUUACCCGCAGAAGAAGCACCGGCUAACUCCGUGCCAGCAGCCGCGGUAAUACGGAGGGUGCAAGCGUUAAUCGGAAUUACUGGGCGUAAAGCGCACGCAGGCGGUCUGUCAAGUCGGAUGUGAAAUCCCCGGGCUCAACCUGGGAACUGCAUUCGAAACUGGCAGGCUAGAGUCUUGUAGAGGGGGGUAGAAUUCCAGGUGUAGCGGUGAAAUGCNGUAGAGAUCUNNGNGAGGANANUACCGGUGGCGAAGGCGGCCCCCUGGACAAAGACUGACGCUCAGGUGCGAAAGCGUGGGGAGCAAACAGGAUUAGAUACCCUGGUAGACCACGCCGUAAACGAUGUCGACUUGGAGGUUGUGCCCUUGAGGCGUGGCUUCCGGAGCUAACGCGUUAAGUCGACCGCCUGGGGAGUACGGCCGCANAGGUUAAAACUCAAAUGAAUUGACGGGGGCCCGCACAAGCGGUGGAGCAUGUGGUUUAAUUCGAUGCAACGCGAAGAACCUUACCUACUCUUGACGUCCAGAGAACUUUCCAGAGAUGGAUUGGUGCCUUCGGGAACUCUGAGACAGGUGCUGCAUGGCUGUCGUCAGCUCGUGUUGUGAAAUGUUGGGUUAAGUCCCGCAACGAGCGCAACCCUUAUCCUUUGUUGCCAGCGGUUAGGCCGGGAACUCAAAGGAGACUGCCAGUGAUAAACUGGAGGAAGGUGGGGAUGACGUCGAGUCAUCAUGGCCCUUACGAGUAGGGCUACACACGUGCUACAAUGGCGCAUACAAAGAGAAGCGACCUCGCGAGAGCAAGCGGACCUCAUAAAGUGCGUCGUAGUCCGGAUUGGAGUCUGCAACUCGACUCCAUGAAGUCGGAAUCGCUAGUAAUCGUAGAUCAGAAUGCUACGGUGAAUACGUUCCCGGGCCUUGUACACACCGCCCGUCACACCAUG
rnacentral:rRNA from 1 species